CCAAUAGCGUAUAUUAAAGUUGUUGCAGUUAAAAAGCUCGUAGUUGAAUUUCGGGAUCAAUAUGUCGGUCGUGCCUCGGUACGUACUGGCAUCAUCGGUUUCUCCCUUCUGAUGAACCAUGAUGCCAUUAAUUUGGUGUCGUGGGGAAUCAGGACUGUUACUUUGAAAAAAUUAGAGUGUUUAAAGCAGGCUCACGCUUGAAUACAUUAGCAUGGAAUAAUGAAAUAGGACGUUUGAUUCUAUUUUGUUGGUUUCUAGGAUCGACGUAAUGAUUAAUAGGGAUAGUUGGGGGCAUUAGUAUUCAAUUGUCAGAGGUGAAAUUCUUGGAUUUAUUGAAGACUAACUACUGCGAAAGCAUUUGCCAAGGAUGUUUUCAUUAAUCAAGAACGAAAGUUAGGGGACCGAAGACGAUCAGAUACCGUCGUAGCCUUAACCAUAAACUAUGCCGACUAGGGAUCGGAUGAUGUUAAUUUUUUAAUGACUCAUUCGGCGCCUUACG
rnacentral:rRNA from 1 species